rnacentral:rRNA from 1 species
UAGUUGGUGGGGUAAUAUCUCACCAAGACUAUGACACAUAACUGGUUUGAGAGGAUGAUCACUCACACUGGAACUGAGACACGGUCCACACUCCUACGGGAGGCAGCAGUGGGGAAUAUUGCACAAUGGACGAAAGUCUGAUGCAGCAACGCCGCGUGUAAGAUGACUACAUUUCAGUGCGUAAACUCCUUUUAUAUGAAAAGAUGAUGACGGUAUUAGAUGAAUAAGCACCGGCUAACUCCGUGCCAGCAGCCGCGGUAAUACAAGGGGUGCAAGCGUUACUCGGAAUCACUGGGCGUAGAACACAUGUAUGCGGAUUAAUAAGUUUGAAGUGAAAUCCUAUAGCUUAACUAUAGAACUGCUUUAGAAACUGUUACUCUA